rnacentral:rRNA from 1 species
AUCAAUAAGCGGAGGAAAAGAAACUAACAAGGAUUCCCCUAGUAGCGGCGAGCGAAGCGGGAAAAGCUCAAAUUUGUAAUCUGGCGUCUUCGACGUCCGAGUUGUAAUCUCGAGAAGUGUUUUCCGUGAUAGACCGCAUACAAGUCUCUUGGAACAGAGCGUCAUAGUGGUGAGAACCCAGUACACGAUGCGGAUGCCUAUUACUUUGUGAUACACUUUCGAAGAGUCGAGUUGUUUGGGAAUGCAGCUCAAAUUGGGUGGUAAAUUCCAUCUAAAGCUAAAUAUUGGCGAGAGACCGAUAGCGAACAAGUACCGUGAGGGAAAGAUGAAAAGCACUUUGGAAAGAGAGUUAACAGUACGUGAAAUUGUUGGAAGGGAAACACAUGCAGUGAUACUUGCUAUUCGGGGCAACUCGAUUGGCAGGCCCGCAUCAGUUUUUCGGGGCGGAAAAUCGUAGAGAGAAGGUAGCAGUUUCGGCUGUGUUAUAGCUCUUUACUGGAUUCGCCCUGGGGGACUGAGGAACGCAGCGUGCUUUUAGCAUGAGCUUCGGCUUAUCCACGCUUAGGAUGCG